GAUGAACGCUGGCGGCGUGCCUAAUACAUGCAAGUCGAGCGAACGGACGAGAAGCUUGCUUCUCUGAUGUUAGCGGCGGACGGGCGAGUAACACGUGGAUAACCUACCUAUAAGACUGGGAUAACUUCGGGAAACCGUAGCUAAUACCGGAUAAUAUUUUGAACCGCAUGGUUCAAAAGUGAAAGACGGUCUUGCUGUAACUUAUAGAUGGAUCCGCGCUGCAUUCGCUAGUUGGUAAGGUAACGGCUUACCAAGGCAACGAUGCAUAGCCGACCUGAUCGGCUGGACGUCCACAAGGGAACUAAGAACGGAUCAGAAAACCGCCGGCAGGCUGCGGAGGGAAGACUACCGACAAGGGCGAAAGCCUGACGGCUCAACGCCAUGUGAGUGAUAAAGGUCUUCGAAUCGUAAAACUCUGUUAUUAGGGAAAAACAUUUUUGUAAGUAACUGUACCAGUUUUAACGGUACCUAAUCAGAAAACCACGGCUACCUACGC
rnacentral:rRNA from 1 species